UACGGAGGGUGCAAGCGUUAUCCGGAUUUACUGGGUUUAAAGGGUGUGUAGGCGGGCUUUUAAGUCAGUGGUGAAAUCUCCGGGCUCAACCUGGAAACUGCCAUUGAUACUAUUAGUCUUGAAUUCUGUUGAGGUAGGCGGAAUAAGUCAUGUAGCGGUGAAAUGCAUAGAUAUGACAUAGAACACCGAUAGCGAAGGCAGCUUACUACAGGAUGAUUGACGCUGAGGCACGAAAGCGUGGGGAGCAAACAGG
rnacentral:rRNA from 1 species